AUGUUUAACGAUGCAAAUUCAGAAUUAAAUACUAAAACAAUUCAAAAUCGUGAAUCAACGAAUGUGGCCAUUACUUUGACACAGAUCAAUCGAGGAAUUAGUGAGAUGAACUGCAACACGAACGGCGUCGAUUUUGCAAUGUGCAAUGGGGCUUUCACGUCAUGGAUUAUUCGGAGAAGCCCGGGGUUGCUACAUGCGUUUAAUUUGAUAAAUAUUUUAACUUUGAAACAAAUUUGA